rnacentral:lncRNA from 1 species
CUGCCACCUGAGUAUCUCUGCCAGAUCCUGGGUGCCGGCAGCACCAUGGCCACUGCCUGCCCUUCCUUGGUGGCCCUUGUCCACUUCCCGUCAAUGGACAGACACUGCGUGACUUACGCACUGGGCACCUUGAGGCCGGCCUCCGGGUCAAUGCGCGUUGGCUGUGGCCUGCAUUGUAAAAGCUGAUCCUGCUCUGUGCUGUCUCACUGGCUUGCUGGACCUUCCUGGGGUCCUGGGGGACCAGGAAUCUGGGGGCUGCAGCCUGGGUCCCAGGGCUCGGGUGGGGGCCCCAGGUCGCCUCUGGAAAGUUGUUGUAACUGCGGAAUUCAGUUUCCCUAAGGCCCUGAGCUGCAGGCCUGGACUUGUUCUCUUCCCCUUCCGAAUUAGAUCCAGCUGGGGUGCGGGGGAGGAUGCCGUUCAGAGGCCGUGGGGAGCAGAGAUGCAGGAACCCCCCGAGCAACCUACACUGUGGGACGCCCUGUUCUGGGUCCCUGUGGCCACAGGGAAUCCACCUUGGCACUGGCUGCUGUACCCUAAAUAGUACACAUCUCGAGUUUGGGAACUUUUGCUGUGUGAGAAAUAAGGUUGACGGUUCUCUCAGGCUUCCCAGCAAAUGCCCAGUGCGCUCACACUUGGCCCAAAACAGGCCUAAAGGGGAAUGAAAAAGCACUUCUCUUCCCAGAAAACAGAUUCCUCAUUGACACAUUUUCUUUUUUUCCUCCUGUAGGUUUUUCUCCCCCCCCUGUUUGCAAAAUGGGUCCUUUUUCCUCGGUCUUUAUGUAAGGAACCGGCAGCAGGACAAAGUGUGCUUGUCAGCAAUAUCCCAAGGCCGCAGUCUCCUUUCCUCUGCCCACAAUGGGGCCAUUAUCGGCCUCGCACUGGUCCCCGGAUUUUUCCUGUCCCCUCCAGGGCUAAUGAGCAGGGAGGCUGCCAGGCCGAACAAAGUGGGGCGGUUUUCACUCAACUGGAGCCCUGGCGUGGCGAGCCCUGGGCAGGGCCUUUACGGGGUGUCCGCCUGUCAUUCGAUCAGCACGAGUGACUUUUGGGAGCACGGCCAUCCAUCAGCGAUUUCCAUAUCGGUUAGGAAUGGCCCCGGUGCGGCUUCCGUUCGGGACUCUAGUCUUGCCGUUGACCCUAAUCGCAUACUCAUGGUCAUUUGGAUCAGUGACAGAAAAGGAUAAAACAAACAAACAAGAAAUGGAAUGGAAAAAGGAACUCUUCUCAGAAUAAUGCAAGAAUGUCUUCAUCACAGUAUCACUCGAUGCUACAGAGUUCAUGGCUCCUGAUACCCGGCUGGCUCCGAGGCUCCGAGGCCCCGAGCUGUGCCCCAGCAUCCCAGCGAGGGUGCCCGUGCUGAGCUUGGCUCCCUGUGCCCCACCCGGCAGCAGUGCGGGGCGACUCCUUCUCUCCCCACCCUGAAUAGCACAGUGAAUACAGCUCAGUAGAUUUCAGUCGCUUGGGCAGGGGACAGGGG